rnacentral:rRNA from 1 species
GACGAACGCUGGCGGCGUGCCUAAUACAUGCAAGUAGAACGCACAGUUUAUACCGUAGCUUGCUACACCAUAAACUGUGAGUUGCGAACGGGUGAGUAACGCGUAGGUAACCUGCCUGGUAGCGGGGGAUAACUAUUGGAAACGAUAGCUAAUACCGCAUAAUAUUGAUUAUUGCAUGAUAAUUGAUUGAAAGAUGCUAUUGCAUCACUACCAGAUGGACCUGCGUUGUAUUAGCUAGUAGGUGAGGUAACGGCUCACCUAGGCGACGAUACAUAGCCGACCUGAGAGGGUGAUCGGCCACACUGGGACUGAGACACGGCCCAGACUGCUACGGGAGGCAGCAGUAGGGAAUCUUCGGCAAUGGGCGAAAGUCUGACCGAGCAACGCCGCGUGAGUGAAGAAGGUUUUCGGAUCGUAAAGCUCUGUUGUAAGAGAAGAACGGGUGUGAGAGUGGAAAGUUCACACUGUGACGGUAUCUUACCAGAAAGGGACGGCUAACUACGUG